AAGAAAGUGACAGAAUGGUUAUGUGGCUGGCUUGAAACCAGUUUAUGGGGGUUCAAUUCCUUCCUUUCUCG
rnacentral:tRNA from 6 species